UCUGGGCGUAAGCGUGCGCAGGCGGUUAUGUAAGACAGAUGUGAAAUCCCCGGGCUCAACCUGGGAACUGCAUUUGUGACUGCAUGGCUAGAGUACGGUAGAGGGGGAUGGAAUUCCGCGUGUAGCAGUGAAAUGCGUAGAUAUGCGGAGGAACACCGAUGGCGAAGGCAGUCCCCUGGACCUGUACUGACGCUCAUGCACGAAAGCGUGGGGAGCAAACAGGAUUAGAUACCCUGGUAGUCCACGCCCUAAACGAUGUCAACUGGUUGUUGGGAAUUAGUUUUCUCAGUAACGAAGCUAACGCGUGAAGUUGACCGCCUGGGGAGUACGGCCGCAAGGUUG
rnacentral:rRNA from 1 species